UCACAAAAACAAAAGCAGUAGACACUACUAAAUACUAAUAGUUAUCGUCGUCAUUAACUUACAAAAUAAAUGUGCUAUUACUUUAAGAUAUAAUUCAUAUUAUAUCAUAAAUUAUGGAAACAAAUAUUAUUAAAGUCAAACAAAAAGUAACAUAUACGGACGGCGCUCAUUACAACAAAAUUUAUUUUACUGUGUUUAAAGAAGAAUUAAAAGUAGAAUGUGAAGUAUUCCAAACUUGUAUUAAUGAGAAGUUCACUGAUUACAAUGACUUGGUUUUAGAGGCUCCAAGAAUCUGCGCCAAAUGUGAUCAAAUAUUUCCAAAUAGUUUUACAUAUUUACAGCAUAACUUAAGUCACAUACAAGUAAAAGUUCCUAAAGUGCAGUGGAUAUUUUGUCACCGUUGUCCAGAAAAAUUUCUAACUAAGCCGGCUUUAGAAAAACACAUCAAGGAGGCACAUUUGAAGCUGAAACCACAUGAAAAUAAAUUAAAGCAAUGUGAUAUAUGCAACAAGAUAUUUUCAAAAAAAUAUUGGUACGCUCAUAAAGCCGUUCACAAAGGCAAUCAGACUUUAACAUGUCAUAAAUGUAAAACUGGAAAGGUCUUCAAAACAAAAGUUACAUUAAGGCGCCAUUUAAGAAAUGUGCAUGAUAAUGUCAAAGAGAUCAAGAAAGAAAAAAAUAUUGCAAAUGAUUUUAAAUGCAAUGAAUGUCCAAAAGUGUUUCAAAGUAAGGACUGUCUUCAGCAUCAUGUAAAGAACUGUCAUGUUAUUAUGGAGGUUAGAUGUGACUUAUGUGGUGCUGUGUUUAAAAAUAAACCUUAUUUACUUAUACACAUUAACAGGGUCCAUUAUGAUGACGGACAUUUAUACCCUUGUGAUAUUUGUGGUAAAACAUUCAAAGCUCCGCGUAGAGUUAAAAUACAUAAGAAAAAUUCACACAAAUUUAUAUCAAAACUGAAAUUUGAACGUGGUAGUAAGAUAAAAGUUAGUAGCCCAGAGUUAUGACAUAAGCAAUAUAAUAUUAACGUUUAUUUUUGGUUUAAGCAAGUAAUAAAACAUUUAAGUAAAAUAUCUUUAAAAUUAAUAAUUAUUUGUAAAUAUUCAUAAAUUAACAAAUUAAUAUAGUGGAAUCUUUAUAACUUUAAUAUCAAGGGAAAUGCAAAAACGUCGAGUUAAGGAGAAAUACUUACAGAGGUACGAUUUCUAAGUGUAUUAUUCUAAAAAUAGACUAGAAGCUCCAAAGCUUGUAUUUUAUUGCUAUUAUUUCAGGAAUUCCAAGUAAGAGGUUUUUAAAGUUUACUUUUAACUACAACUUACGGAGCCGCCUAUUUGAGUUGCAAAGUCUAGUCUUUUUUAACUAACCGAGGAUUUUGACUUAACGAGGUUAAAGUUUUAGAGAUACUACUGUAUUAAUGUUUAUUUUUGGUUUAAGUAAAAUAUAUUUUUGUAUUAUUUAAUGAAUAUUUACUUAAGAUCUCCAGUUUUUAGACACCAAAUUAUGACUAAUAAAACUUUAACAUUGAUAUGUUGAUAAAAAAAAGUUCUAUCAUUUGUUUAAAUGAUUUUUUUUAAAAUUCCUAAUUAAACUUUGCAUGUGCGGUCAUAAUUGUUUUCUAAUAUCCGAAAAUAAAAGUGACUGAGGGAAAAAAAUUAGAGGGAUAUAUAGAUUUACGUUUACCUAAGUAAUAAAAUUGUUCUACAAAGUGA